AGUGAACGCUGGCGGUAGGCCUAACACAUGCAAGUCGAACGGCAGCACAGUAAGAGCUUGCUCUUACGGGUGGCGAGUGGCGGACGGGUGAGGCAUACAUCGGAAUCUACUUUUUCGUGGGGGAUAACGUAGGGAAACUUACGCUAAUACCGCAUACGACCUACGGGUGAAAGCAGGAGAUCUUCGGACCUUGCGCGAUUGAAUGAGCCGAUGUCGGAUUAGCUAGUUGGCGGGGUAAAGGCCCACCAAGGCGACGAUCCGUAGCUGGUCUGAGAGGAUGAUCAGCCACACUGGAACUGAGACACGGUCCAGACUCCUACGGGAGGCAGCAGUGGGGAAUAUUGGACAAUGGGCGCAAGCCUGAUCCAGCCAUACCGCGUGGGUGAAGAAGGCCUUCGGGUUGUAAAGCCCUUUUGUUGGGAAAGAAAAGCAGCAGGAGAAUACCCCGCUGUUCUGACGGUACCCAAAGAAUAAGCAACGGCUAACUUCGUG
rnacentral:rRNA from 1 species